UACGUAGGGGGCUAGCGUUGUCCGGAUUUAUUGGGCGUAAAGAGCGUGUAGGCGGCCAGGUAGGUCUGCUGUGAAAACUCGAGGCUCAACCUCGAGACGUCGGCGGAAACCAUCUGGCUAGAGUCCGGAAGAGGAGAGUGGAAUUCCUGGUGUAGCGGUGAAAUGCGCAGAUAUCAGGAAGAACACCCGUGGCGAAGGCGGCUCUCUGGGACGGUACUGACGCUGAGACGCGAAAGCGUGGGGAGCAAACCGG
rnacentral:rRNA from 1 species